rnacentral:rRNA from 1 species
ACGGCAGCACGGGUGCUUGCACCUGGUGGCGAGUGGCGAACGGGUGAGUAAUGCGUCGGAACGUACCGAGUAGUGGGGGAUAACGCAGCGAAAGUUGUGCUAAUACCGCAUAUUCUGUGAGCAGGAAAGCGGGGGAUCUUCGGACCUCGCGCUAUUCGAGCGGCCGACGUCUGAUUAGCUAGUUGGUGGGGUAAUGGCUCACCAAGGCGACGAUCAGUAGCGGGUCUGAGAGGAUGAUCCGCCACACUGGGACUGAGACACGGCCCAGACUCCUACGGGAGGCAGCAGUGGGGAAUUUUGGACAAUGGGCGAAAGCCUGAUCCAGCCAUGCCGCGUGUCUGAAGAAGGCCUUCGGGUUGUAAAGGACUUUUGUCAGGGAGGAAAUCCCCAGGGCUAAUACCCUUGGGGGAUGACAGUACCUGAAGAAUAAGCACCGGCUAACUACGUGCCAGCAGCCGCGGUAAUACGUAGGGUGCAAGCGUUAAUCGGAAUUACUGGGCGUAAAGCGUGCGCAGGCGGUUGGUUAAGCAAGAUGUGAAAGCCCCGGGCUCAACCUGGGAACUGCGUUUUGAACUGGCCAGCUAGAGUACGUCAGAGGGGGGUGGAAUUCCGCGUGUAGCAGUGAAAUGCGUAGAGAUGCGGAG